ensembl:lncRNA
GUUCUACGUAUUCCCUAAGAAGUGCACAGUGUACGGGACUGGAGCGCCAUUUUGGCCACCUAGAUCCUAUUGUUGAUGCUGUGGUUGACCUCUUAAGAAAAGAGAUUUCAGGCUGCAGGGUUUGGGACCACUAGAGAUACUGUAGCAUCAAGGGACAUCUUGUUACAUUUCACGUGAGAUGUUUGUAUCGCUAUCACACAAUGACAAAGUCUUCACCUUGACUGCUGCAGGUAAUUCCUGGAGAGUUAUUGUCUUGUAUGUAAUUGAGUGUGGGGUUGCUAGGUGGACUGUAAGCAUUGAGGUAUUGUCUUGUAUCUAAUUGAGUGUGGGGUUGCUAGGUGGACUGUAAGCAUUGAGUUAUUGUCUUGUAUCUAAUUGAGUGGGGGGUUGCUAGGUGGACUGUAAGCAUUGAGUUAUUGUCUUGUAUCUAAUUGAGUGGGGGGUU